GAUGAACGCUGGCGGCGUGCCUAAUACAUGCAAGUCGAGCGAAUGGAUUAAGAGCUUGCUCUUAUGAAGUUAGCGGCGGACGGGUGAGUAACACGUGGGUAACCUGCCCAUAAGACUGGGAUAACUCCGGGAAACCGGGGCUAAUACCGGAUAACAUUUUGAACCGCAUGGUUCGAAAUUGAAAGGCGGCUUCGGCUGUCACUUUUGGAUGGACCCGGGUCGCGUUAGCUAGUUGGUGAGGUAACGGCUCACCAAGGCAACGAUGCGUAGCCGACCUGAGAGGGUGGUCGGCCACACUGGGACUGGAACACGGCCCAGACUCCUACGGGAGGCAGCAGUAGGGAAUCUUCCGCAAUGGACGAAAGUCUGACGGAGCAACGCCGCGUGAGUGAUGAAGGCUUUCGGGUCGUAAAACUCUGUUGUUAGGGAAGAACAAGUGCUAGUUGAAUAAGCUGGCACCUUGACGGUACCUAACCAGAAAGCCACGGCUAACUACGUGCCAGCCGCCGCAGUAA
rnacentral:rRNA from 1 species